GACGAACGCUGGCGGCGUGCUUAACACAUGCAAGUCGAACGGAAAGGCCCUGCUUUUGUGGGGUGCUCGAGUGGCGAACGGGUGAGUAACACGUGAGUAACCUGCCCUUGACUUUGGGAUAACUUCAGGAAACUGGGGCUAAUACCGGAUAGGAGCUCCUGCUGCAUGGUGGGGGUUGGAAAGUUUCGGCGGUUGGGGAUGGACUCGCGGCUUAUCAGCUUGUUGGUGGGGUAGUGGCUUACCAAGGCUUUGACGGGUAGCCGGCCUGAGAGGGUGACCGGCCACAUUGGGACUGAGAUACGGCCCAGACUCCUACGGGAGGCAGCAGUGGGGAAUAUUGCACAAUGCGCGGAAGCCUGAUGCAGCAACGCCGCGUGCGGGAUGACGGCCUUCGGGUUGUAAACCGCUUUCGCCUGUGACGAAGCGUGAGUGACGGUAAUGGGUAAAGAAGCACCGGCUAACUACGUGCCAGCAGCCGCGGUGAUACGUAGGGUGCGAGCGUUGUCCGGAUUUAUUGGGCGUAAAGGGCUCGUAGGUGGUUGAUCGCGUCGGAAGUGUAAUCUUGGGGCUUAACCCUGAGCGUGCUUUCGAUACGGGUUGACUUGAGGAAGGUAGGGGAGAAUGGAAUUCCUGGUGGAGCGGUGGAAUGCGCAGAUAUCAGGAGGAACACCAGUGGCGAAGGCGGUUCUCUGGGCCUUUCCUGACGCUGAGGAGCGAAAGCGUGGGGAGCGAACAGGCUUAGAUACCCUGGUAGUCCACGCUGUAAACGGUGGGUACUAGGUGUGGGGUCCAUUCCACGGGUUCCGUGCCGUAGCUAACGCUUUAAGUACCCCGCCUGGGGAGUACGGCCGCAAGGCUAAAACUCAAAGGAAUUGACGGGGCCCCGCACAAGCGGCGGAGCAUGCGGAUUAAUUCGAUGCAACGCGUAGAACCUUACCUGGGUUUGACAUGGAUCGGGAGUGCUCAGAGAUGGGUGUGCCUCUUUUGGGGUCGGUUCACAGGUGGUGCAUGGCUGUCGUCAGCUCGUGUCGUGAGAUGUUGGGUUAAGUCCCGCAACGAGCGCAACCCUUGUUCACUGUUGCCAGCACGUUAUGGUGGGGACUCAGUGGAGACCGCCGGGGUCAACUCGGAGGAAGGUGGGGAUGACGUCAAGUCAUCAUGCCCCUUAUGUCCAGGGCUUCACGCAUGCUACAAUGGCUGGUACAGAGAGUGGCGAGCCUGUGAGGGUGAGCGAAUCUCGGAAAGCCGGUCUCAGUUCGGAUUGGGGUCUGCAACUCGACCUCAUGAAGUCGGAGUCGCUAGUAAUCGCAGAUCAGCAACGCUGCGGUGAAUACGUUCCCGGGGCU
rnacentral:rRNA from 1 species